GAGGAACCUUAAUGUUACUGACCUUGGCCACAGGUAUACCAGUCUGUGGCUGAGAUAAAACGUAAUUGAUACGUAAAAAAAAUUAUAAAGACAUUACAACAUUAAAUACAGUUUGAGGAGAAUCCCCUUAACCAAAUUUAUUUCUUACUCCCUUCUGAUCUAUGCAUUACAUAUUUGAACAUAAAUGGAACAUAACACGAGAUUAUAUCAGCUUUAAAAAAUUAACAUUGUAAUAUUUUCCCAUGUUAUCUAUUUCUUCCUAGUUUAUAUUAAUGUUUACAUAACAUUUUACCAACUUGAUGUAAUAUUUAUUAACCAUUACCUUGUUUGCUUAUUGUUUCCAAUUUUCUCUGUUAUAAAAUAAUGAUACAAUGAAUCCCUUUCUACAUAUAAUUCUUUUUUUCUUUGAAAAAAUUGUAUGGAAGUGGGAUUACUAGGUCAAAGUUUGGGCAUAUACUUAACAGCUUUUGAUAGGUUUCAAAAGAAAUGAAUGCCACAGUGCCCCAGGCAAUCAAAUUACUCUCCUUUAUCUUCAGUGUUCUUUUUAGAAUGUUCUUUAUGGUCACCUGUUUUUUCAAAUUGACUCUAGAAUCAUGUUGUCAAGUUUUGUACUUAAAAUACUAUUAGAAUAGGUUGUGUUGACUGAGAUUUAGAGCAAGUAUUUACUGCAGAGAUGCCUCAGAGAGGACUAUCUUUGCAAACUGGAUUUCUUAUGCUACAAACCAAGUAUUUAUCCUGUUCCCCAAACGCUGUGAGCAGAAUUGCUUGGAAGGAAGCAAUCAUCAUUAAUGGACUGCAAUUCCCUAAAUUCACAUUACUUUGGCUGAACUUUGAGUCAACAAGCAAUUCAAACUAAAGAUGGUUGGUAUUUGCCAAUACAGACCUGUUUAACCUCUAGUUUAAUAGAAACUCCAAUUGGGAGAUUUUCUUUUUCUUUUCCUCUAUACCAAGCAGUGAUGGGAGAUUUACCUGGUGAGUUUGUAAAGUACUGCAGGCUGUUUCUUCACAGCUCUGGAAGGGAGGAGACAGCAAUGAAGAGUCUCAUGUCUUUCAAGAUGGAUCUUCUAAGCAGCAGAUUCGGAUCUCAUCAAAACUAGCAAGACUUUAUUGGGAGACAUGGUCUUGACACUUACCCCACCCUUUGGAGUCUAUUUGAGAACUGAAUGAGGAACACACACAGGUAUAUCUGCGGAAUUUUUAAACAUGAAGAGGGAGUGGUUACUUAAUUAAGAGGAAAUAAAUGAGAAGUAGUCUGUAUAUCCCAGCUGACACUAUUUUAUGGUUUUGUUUUUGGUUCUUUGCUUGUUGCCUGUGCCCCAGGAAGAAAAACACCUGUAUUUGGGAGUGAUUUUCAAAAUAUUUUACAACUGGUGCUGCACUGAUCAGUCAGAAUGUAGGGCUGGAGCAGAGUCCCGGAAGAUCCUCUACUGUGCUGGGCAGUAAACCCUUCAGUUGCUGAGUAGAGGAUAAGUCUGGGAGGGUCCUGAGUAAAAGAGUGAGGCAAGUGAGGGAAACUUAGGUUUGGGACAAGGGCCCCUCUCAAGCAAGUGUGGAAGUAUUUUAAUAUUUUGGUAACCCAG
ensembl:lncRNA